AUCAUACUCCCUCCGUCUGAAAAUACUUGUCAUCAAAAUGGACAAAAAAGGGUGUACGUAGAACUAAAAUACAUCUAGAUACUUCCCCUUUUAUUCAUUUUGAUGACAAGUAUUUCCGGACUGAGGGAGUACAUG
rfam:Triticum aestivum genome assembly, contig: Triticum_aestivum_CS42_TGACv1_scaffold_146013_2BS